GACGAACGCUGGCGGCGUGCCUAAUACAUGCAAGUCGAACGCAGUGGGGACGGGUGAGUAACACGUGGGUAACCUUCCAUCACAGGGGAGAACACUUGGAAACAGGUGCUAAACCGAUACUGAUGGAUGGACCCGCGGUGGAUUAGCUAGUUGGGGAGGUAACGCCCUACCAAGGCCACGAUGCAUAGCCGACCUGGGAGUGUGAUCGGCCACACUGGAACUGAGACACGGCCCAGACUCCUACGGGAGGCAGCAGUAGGGAAUAUUCGGCAAUGGACGAAAGUCUGACCGAGCAACGCCGCGUGUGUGAAGAAGGUUUUCGGAUCGUAAAACUCUUUUAUUUGUGAGGCGGUAUCUACCCAGAAAGCAACGGCUAACUACGUGCCAGCCGCCGCGGUAAUAC
rnacentral:rRNA from 1 species